UUACAUUUCACCUGUAUGAUUUAGGUUUUGUAGGUCUUAAGUUUCAAAACAAAAGACCGUGAAGCUCAGUUAUCACUUUUGACAGCUACAGUGUGAACUUAGGGUUUAACUUUCUUGAUUCAAGAAAGGUGUCAUUUUUUCCCCCUUAGUUCCACUGCCUGGUGCAGUGGACAACAACCGUGAUUGGACCUGAGUCUUUCUUUCAAGGGCUCCUAUUUAACAAGGUAUAAAAGUACAUAACUACAUUAGUGUUAUGCCGUGUGGUAAGUAUGUCUGACUGGUUAAGGAUGUGCAGAGGUGGGAGGGCUUCAUUCAGCCGCAGGUGAAUGAAGGGAAGGCUUUUCAGGGGACUCCAGGGUAGAAACUCCCAUGUAUUGUCCCCUCUGCUCUGCUUGGUAAUCCACAGUGCACGUUUGCCAUUCCCCAAGGAGAUAACCCCUUCUCGUUUGUCAUUAGUAACAUCUCAAGGAACCAACAUCCUGAGAAUUCUUUGGAAGCUGUGGUAGAGGUCACCAGGAAGUCAGCGAUGACAUUUAAAGCAGGGAUGAACCAGACGCACAUUUUAGAAGCUGUUCCGGGGCUUUGUGGAAAAUGGAUGAUCAGACCUGGGCAACAUGACUGUAAAGGAUCCCAGCCUAUGGAGGUCUCGCAGCUGUUCAGGUGGAGAGAAUGUGAGACCUCAACGAACUGUGGGCAGAGGAAGGGUGGUGAGAGGAUGAAUUUGAGAUGCAUGGUGGAUGUGAACAAUGGAGGGAAGAGAAAAAUCAAGAGUUGUGUUCCAUGCUGAAGAGAGCCGUGUCAGCAUUUCCUGCCUAUAAAUGAAAUGGGUUCUCACUACCAUGGAAGCCAACCCUCCUUCUCUUAAGCCAGUUCCAGCAGAUGGUCCCAGAUGAGAGCAAUCCACUCAGUUCCUAGCCUCUAGGCUGGGUGGUAAGUCUGGGUGAUGCAGUCAGUGUACCUCUGAUAAUGAGGCUGGGUUUGUUUGUCUGUUUGUUUUACUGAAUAGCAUCACUUAAGAAUCAAGUUAACCAUUUCUGACUUUUCACAUUGAAAUAAAUACCUCGAAUCAGCAUAGAUACUUUAACUUUCAGUUGCUUUAUUAUUACAAAUGCAAACUUUAAAUGUGCUAGGUUAUUAGAGUCUCUCCACUCUUAACUUCUGGAAGAAAUAUUUCCUGGUAAUGUGAAGCAAAAACUUGUAAAAAGAUUUCAUAGUUUUCAGGCUGUGGAUCUCUUCCUCAAAUUAGUUACCUUUGUAAUAGUGACUGAGUGCCAAAAAUAAAUAAAUAAAUAACAUAAAAGGAAAGAAGGAAAAAGGUUUUGAAUAUCCUUUCCAUUUACUGUGUUAAAACAGAUCCUAACAUAAUAUAAUAAAAAAAAUUAAAAAAAAUAAACCAGAUCCUUCCUCUCACAGCCAGCUCUUAGAAUAGCAUUCAGCAUAUAGUAACUGUUCAAUAAAAAUCAUUGCCCAGGGAAUUAUGAAAUAAAGUGUCAUAACUCUUUGAAGCUCUGUUUGAAAGUGAUGAUUCUAAACCAAACUGCCCUUUACAAACUUUUAGAAUUCACCAGUUAAGAAAUAUUUAAAUAUCUAAAUCUCUUUUCCUACAUUGUGAAAGAAAGUCUUCAUGUUGGUUAUGUAAUUCAAUCUCCAUAAAAGCAAAGAGCUUUUUGAGCUUUUCCUAAGGGAGCCCACCACCCAGGACAGAAUGGGAGGUUAUACCUGACAUGCUAUGUAUUUCAUUGGUCAUCUCUGAUCCUUGCUCAUCAGCCUGACUGGUGUGAACAUACGUCUCUGUCACCACAAUUUGUUGGCCUGCUGGCUUUUCCUUAACACCUUAGCACUUCAGAGAAAAUAGCAGGAGGUCCAAUUUCAUCCAAAAGACGACUUCUGUUAUUAAUGCCCAAGAGAGUGUGCUCAAAAUGUAGAUUUUCUUUUGGAAACAUCCAUUUGUGCCAUAUAAAGUUUUUAUUCCCCUGCAUACACACACAUUUCUUUGGUCAAUAAUGUCUUUUUUUUUUUUUUAAGAUUUUAUUUAUUCAUUUGACAGAGAUAGAGACAGCCAGUGAGAGAGGGAACACAAGCAGGGGGAGUGGGAGAGGGAAGCAGGCUCAUAGCGGAGGAGCCUGAUGUGGGGCUCGAUCCCACAACACUGGGAUCACGCCCUGAGCCGAAGGCAGACGCCUAACCACUGUGCCACCCAGGCGCCCCUGGUCUCUAAUGUCUUGACCCUAAAUCACUUCACCUUGCAAUGGUCUACACGUAUUUGCGAUGUUGGGAGGUAUAAUUAAUAAGUUAAAGUAGGACUUAGACACUUAGCUACCAUAAACCAGGGUUUCCCCGGUCAGGGUCAGGAUUUUACGCUAGACCCUAACGUGAUGUAGUUUUCACUGAUGUUUUCAAGUCAGUGCUGCCAAAUGGCUGUCCUACAGCCGUGUCUGAGAGGACGUUGGAUUUCUUGUGAAAUGAGCAAGCCUGAGUCUUCUUCAUAAUUACAAAUGACAUCUUCAUGUUCUAAAAGGUCUUUUGUCAUGAUGGAAGCAUUAAAAUAGACAAGGCAAGAACACGUGUUAAAGCCUUUUCUUUUGACUACAGUUGACAGCAGGAGAAAUAAAGUGAAGGAGCUAAUUAGUUUGCAGGGUCUCAGUUUUGUGCCACUGCUCACAUCCCAGAAGGCCUGUCCUCAGAGGUAGCGAGAUGUCAUGGGUUGCCCCAGAUCUCAGUUGCUACUCCCCAGUAUGGCCUACAUCAGCACUCCGGGGUCAGAACACUGUUUGAGAAAAGUAGCAAUAUGGGAAAUGGGCACUCUGCACCUUUCCCAUUGGGCAUUCUUUCACACACAAAUGCAUGUCUCCAUUGCAUCCUCUCUUGCA
ensembl:lncRNA